CAGUAGCCGCGGUAAUACGUAGGGGGCAAGCGUUAUCCGGAAUAACUGGGCGUAAAGGGUGCGCAGGUGGUUUAACAAGUUAGUGGUGAAAGGCAUAGGCUCAACCAAUGUAAGCCAUUAAAACUGUUUAACUUGAGUGCAGGAGAGGAAAGUGGAAUUCCUAGUGUAGCGGUGAAAUGCGUAGAGAUGUGGAGGAACACCAGUGGCGGAGGCGACUCUCUGGUCUGUAACUGACGCUGAGGAGCGAAAGCGUGGGGAGCGAACAGGAUUAGAUACCCCAGUAGUCCCUGUCUCUUAUACA
rnacentral:rRNA from 1 species